rnacentral:lncRNA from 1 species
UACUCUUGUGCUAAGAUGACCUCCUUCUAUUAAUAUGUCUCCAUUUUUUCCUCAUCUUAGGUUUAUCCAUAGCAACUUUCCUUCUCUUGGGCAUGGAGAAUGAGGGAAAGAGUUUGUGAAGCCUUCAGAGAACUCUGGAAACUUCACAGUGCUACUAACAUCAUGUCUCUAAGGAAAUGAAGCGAAGAUCUGCAUCCAGGAGAUCUCGUGCCAGCACCCAGAUUCUUCAUCCUCCUCCAGCAUUUCAGGCAGGAUGCUGGCGGGAAACCGCUGGUACACGCAAAAUGGCUAAGUCAAGGCACUAUUAACAGACAUGCUUUGGAGAAGGCAAUGGCACCCCACUCCAGU